UACGUAGGGGGCAAGCGUUGUCCGGAAUCAUUGGGCGUAAAGCGCGCGUAGGCGGCCAGAUAAGUCCGGUGUGAAAGUCACAGGCUCAACCUGUGAAUGCCGCUGGAAACUGUCUGGCUUGAGUCCGGAAGGGGCGAGUGGAAUUCCUGGUGUAGCGGUGAAAUGCGCAGAUAUCAGGAGGAACACCAAUGGCGAAGGCAGCUCGCUGGAACGGUACUGACGCUGAGGCACGAAAGCGUGGGGAGCAAACAGG
rnacentral:rRNA from 1 species